rnacentral:rRNA from 1 species
GAUGAACGCUGGCGGCGUGCCUAACACAUGCAAGUCGUACGAGCUCGAUCUUCGGAACGGGUUAGUGGCGCACGGUGAGUAACACGUAGGUGACCUACCCCAGAGUGGGGGAUAACUUCUCGAAAGAGAGGCUAAUACCGCAUACACUCGGUCAUUCAUUUGGCCGAGCAAAGCUCCGGCGCUUUGGGACGGGCCUGCGUCCGAUUAGCUAGUUGGUAGGGUAAUGGCUUACCAAGGCUUUGAUCGGUAGCUGGUCUGAGAGGACGAUCAGCCACACUGGCACUGACACACGGGCCAGACUCCUACGGGAGGCAGCAGUGAGGAAUAUUGGGCAAUGGGCGAAAGCCUGACCCAGCAACGCCGCGUGAGGGAUGAAGGCCUCGGGUUGUAAACCGUCUUUCUGGAGAAGAGACAAGGACGGUA